rnacentral:rRNA from 1 species
CAUAGCGACUAUCGUGGCAUAUCAAUAAGCGGAGGAAAAGAAACUAACAAGGAUUCCCCUAGUAACGGCGAGUGAAGCGGGAAGAGCUCAGAUUUGAAAUCUUAAAGGGUUUCCCUUUACGAAUUGUAGUUUAAAGAAGUGUUUUCUGUUGAAGUUUUGGUAAAAGUUCUUUGGAAUAGGACAUCAUAGAGGGUGAGAAUCCCGUAUUUGACCAUUAUUUUCAGCUGUGUGAUACACUUUCAAAGAGUCGGAUUGUUUGGGAAUGCAGUCCAAAAUGGGUGGUAAAUUUCAUCUAAAGCUAAAUAUUGGCGAGAGACCGAUAGCGAACAAGUACCGUGAGGGAAAGAUGAAAAGAACUUUGAAAAGAGAGUUAAACAGUACGUGAAAUUGUCAAAAGGGAAGCGUUUGACACCAGUGUUGUUUAGUUGAAAAUCAAUUCAAUAACUUUUUGAUUUUAAGUAGUAUUGACUUCAUCAGCUUGCUGCUUUCUUUUCAGGAAAUUAUUUAAUGCACUUUUCAGUUAACAAGUCAACAUCAAUUUCUUUCGUUGUAAAAGGGUAAGAGGAAGGUGGCUUACGCUUCGGCGUAAGUGUUUAUAGCCUUUUACCUCUGCAAUCGGAGAGAUUGAGGACAGCAGCGUAGACUCUUCGGGGUUAGAUACACUUGUGCUAAGCUAUAGCCUUGUAUAGACAACUUGUUGACUAUGCUCAGUCAUGUAGCUUACUCGCUUGUGCUAUUUUACCUACGCUUAGGAUGUUGAUAUGCAUGACUGAUAU